rnacentral:rRNA from 1 species
UACGAAGGGUGCUAGCGUUGUUCGGAAUUACUGGGCGUAAAGCGCGCGUAGGCGGCUUGCCAAGUCAGAGGUGAAAGCCCUGGGCUCAACCCAGGAAUUGCCUUUGAAACUGGUAAGCUAGAGUGUCGGAGGGGAUAGCGGAAUUGCUAAUGUAGAGGUGAAAUUCGUAGAUAUUAGCAGGAACACCGGUGGCGAAGGCGGCUAUCUGGACGACAACUGACGCUGAGGCGCGAAAGCGUGGGGAUCAAACAGG